rnacentral:rRNA from 1 species
GGAAUUUUGCGCAAUGGGCGAAAGCCUGACGCAGCAACGCCGCGUGGAGGAUGAAGGCCUUCGGGUCGUAAACUCCUGUCAGGAGGGACGAAAGCCUUAACCGGUUUGACUGUACCUUCUGAGGAAGCCACGGCUAACUCCGUGCCAGCAGCCGCGGUAAUACGGAGGUGGCAAGCGUUGUUCGGAAUUAUUGGGCGUAAAGGGCGCGUAGGCGGCUUGGCAAGUUAGAUGUGAAAGCCCCGGGCUUAACUUGGGAAUUGCAUCUAAAACUGCCUUGCUUGAGUCCUGGAGGGGGUAGCGGAAUUCCCAGUGUAGCGGUGAAAUGCGUAGAUAUUGGGAGGAACACCUGCGGCGAAGGCGGCUACCUGGACAGUGACUGACGCUGAGGCGCGAAAGCUAGGGGAGCAAA